UGGCGAAUAUUGGACAAUGGGCGAAAGCCUGAUCCAGCCAUGCCGCGCGUGUGAAGAAGGUCUUCGGAUUGUAAAGCACUUUAAGUUGGGAGGAAGGGCAGUAAGCGAAUACCUUGCUGUUUUGACGUUACCGACAGAAUAAGCACCGGCUAACUCUGUGCCAGCAGCCGCGGUAAUACAGAGGGUGCAAGCGUUAAUCGGAAUUACUGGGCGUAAAGCGCGCGUAGGUGGUUCGUUAAGUUGAAUGUGAAAGCCCCGGGCUCAACCUGGGAACUGCAUCCAAAACUGGCGAGCUAGAGUAGGGCAGAGGGUGGUGGAAUUUCCUGUGUAGCGGUGAAAUGCGUAGAUAUAGGAAGGAACACCAGUGGCGAAGGCGACCACCUGGGCUCAUACUGACACUGAGGUGCGAAAGCGUGGGGAGCAAACAGG
rnacentral:rRNA from 1 species